CUUCCGUCCGGAAGCGGAAGCAGAGAAGGCCCCCGCCCUGCAGCGCCCAGGAGGGAAGCCGGUUUUUCAGGUUUCGCUAGGAGAAAUAACUCGGUGGCUGGACCUGAAAUUACUCACGUCCCGUUCCCGACAGGGCUGCCGCUGUUGCUGAGAAGUCCUGGGACCUCUAACAUAUGCCAGCAGAAGGUCUGCCAGUCUCCCAGGUUUCUGCCUGUGGUAUCCAGUCAAAUGAGAAUGGGGACUUAACGCAUUCUCCAGAAACUCCAUGAAGCCUGCUUGACCAUGUACACGCCUCACUUAGUGAAGAUGUUCCUGAGGCCUCGGGCCGCAGCAGCCUCCUUGGGUUUGCGAGGCCCGUGUGUAUGCCACUUUGAAUUAAAAAUGUGCAUGGCAAAAUGAGGAAACAGCUGACAAGUGAUGAGUCUGCACAAUGGAAAAACCACCCUGAUCAUCAGCAUCACAGGUGGGUAAGUGUUCCUUUAAAGUGAUUUUGUCAAAGUCAUAUGAAAUGGUUUUCAUGGUGGGGGAGAGGAAA